CGGAAAGUAGCUCAGUUUGGUAGAGCGCGAGAAACGUCUUUUCGAUUUUGUCGCCGUAUUAAUAUUUUAGCGAAUGCAGUUGGAACUACAUUUAACGUGCGUGUUGUCGGUUCGAGUCCGACCGUUUUGU
rnacentral:tRNA from 1 species